UGCUCGAGGAGGACGUACAGUGCGGGCAUGCGGUUUUGCGUUGGCCAGUGUUUUCUCGUGUGAUUCUCGAAGGGGCCUGGAUGCGGAAAAGUACAGCUAUCAAAAGUGCGUCCUGUGGAAAUGUUAUAAAAGACACAUGUAGAGUGAAAAUAUGGAAGGGUGAGAGCAAGAAAAACGUGUGUGAGAAAUGUGGUGUGCGCCAGUGUGAGUGGUCUGAAGUGUGGAAUGGUGGGGUGAGUGAAAAGAAACCCACCGAGAUGGCAGAACCACCACAUUGAGAAGAUGAAGAGCGAGGAGUUUGUAAAGAAAGUGCUUGUUAGUGAAACUGAAGGUGCUAAUAGGAGAGGAAGGCCACUCGGAAGAUGGAAUGAUAAGAUGAAGCGUAACGCCAGGCUUGUCAAGGGACGACGAGGAGCGUCAAGUCGACUUUCCUCAGUAUUAAAUGAAAGAGUGAAUACAAAUUAGAAACGGAUAGAAAUAGGUUGAACUUCGCCUCCCUGUCAGUGAAAAGCGGCAAAGGGUAGACAAAGGAUAGCUGGAAACGAGGAAAAGGAGAGGAUGAGGCUGGCUAGUGAUGUUGGGCAGUGACUGGGAAGGGAGCAGAUUAAGGGGUUAGAUUGGAAUGAUGCAAGUGUGAGAUGUCGUGGCCUUAGAAGUGUAGAUUGAGAGAAAAACGCGAGACUGAAUUAACGUGACAGUGGAGGGCUUGGACGCUGCAAAUUAGAUUCGGAUCCUUGAAACAUCCAUUAUGACUGUAACCGGAUGUGUCUAGAAUUUAUUUCUCCUAUUGUGUCUUAAAUGGAAUGUGCUUGGAUGGUCUGAGCAAAGAUAAUGUUUAGGGAGUAAUAAUUUAUAAGCCUUGCCCUGAAUGUACGCUGAGCUUUCAACUCGACGCUUUGUUGCAGUCUUACGUUCCGUUGCCUCCCCGCUUGCUGCCUCACCCAGCAAUCACUCAAGUCUGUCACCAUGAUUUACUCACCCGCUACGUGGAGGCAACAGGUUAUACAAGGUAAAGGACGGCAGGUGAGUCACGAGUGAUGGCAGACAUGCGGAGCUGCAGGUGGAUGGACAGGUGAAUAGACACGCUGCUGGAAGGAAUUGUAGUCUGCACCCAGCAAAUGGGUAAGACAUCACCGGCGCCACCAUCAUUGCCACCACCACCACCAUCACCACUACCAACUGCAACAACAACGUCACGACAUUGUUAUUAUCACCAAGAACAUCAACAUCAGCAACAAUAAUAACAACAACGUCACGACAUCGUUAUUACCACCAGGAACACCAAUAUCAGGAGCAACAACAACAACAGCAAAGGCAAUAAUAACAACAAGAAUAAAGAACACCCAACUUGGCACUCCACGCUUGGCUGGGGGAAAAUUCUUUACCCGCCUCGUCUGUCCUCCUUCCUAGCCCGUUUAAGCCGGUGGCAGACUUUAAGAUGGGAUACACGCCAUCCUCAGUGAGACGACCCAGACACAUAACAACCCACCGCUGCGCUAUCAAAAUCUCCCAGGUGAUUCACACGUGUGAGGUGAUGUGUACCUACCUACCUCGCCAUUCCUGCUGCUGUUGCCGUGGAUGGUGUUGACAAAGGGAGGCAAAAUAUUCCACCAGCGAGGGGAACGUAAACGUACUCACACCUUUCCAGGUUAAAAAGAAAACAUGAAAAUAAUAAAUCAGUAAAAUAACAAAA